ensembl:lncRNA
CAGGAAGCCUGUGUUAAGUUGUAACUAUCCCCAGUUGACAUGGACGUGAUUCUUGAACAAUCACCAGGUGUUAAACACCUGUCAGAAUGACAGUGAUCUAUAUGGAUGAAGCAGAAAGCUUGUCGAGCUGAUCGGUAGUACAAUGAAUAAAAUGGUGGUCUCGUAAUUUUAUCGCUGGAUUACAAAUGACACAAAGGGAGACAUGACUUUGUUGUUUUAAAUUCUACAAUCUAACCCAAAAUCACAGAACAGGAGGAUGAAGCAGUUUAUUUAAUUUUCCAAAAGCAAGACAACUUUAAGUCUGAACAUGUUUUCAACUAGAACUAGUCUUUAAUAUUCAACAAUAUAAUCAGAAAAAAGUCUCAUCUCACUUUGUGUUGCUUGUUUAUCACAUUUGGAAUUUACUUUUGGUGAUUUCCAAAUUCAUAAAGUUGUUUCGUUGUUUAAUUUUUAUAAAGUGUUUUUAAUAGAACAUCAUGAUUUAAUGUGCAUAAUGAAUCAAACUGUGGAUGUUGACUAAUAAUUCUCCUGUUAUUUGUUCAUCAUGAAUGUAAAUGAUCUGGCUGCUAAAUGUCUUUGAUUUGUGAAUGUUUAUUUCAGUGUUUAUACAGCAACAUUUAUUUCAUAAUUCUUACCAUUUAUUAAGUUGGAGCUGCUGUUUGUUUCAGUGUGUUUCUAUAAACUCUCACUUUAUAUGUCAGAUGUGAAACAACACAUCAGUUCAUUCAGGAUUUACAUUUGUUAGCUGUGGAUUUUCUUUCAGCUGCUUUCAAAAACUCUACUUUUGUUUGUCCUGAUGAGCAAAUGUUCAGAUAUGUAAAUGUGAGAAACAUGAGUUGACUGAUGACCUGGGUUAUUUCUGUCAAUAAAAGAUGUCAAAGCCUCGCUGCUGUUUCAUGCAUCUGUAAACACACAGAAACAUUUUCUAUUUAAACUGUCUUUUUAUUGAUAACACCUUAACACAUUUUCUAGAAGUUAGAGAAACACGUGUAGCACGUAAGAGAACAGAGCAAUAAUCUGAAGAAUCAGAGAAGUAGAGGAUUAAUAUUAUUAUACAGAAGAAAGCCAAAGAGACAAAAAGAGACAAAGGGAAAGUAGAAAGAGCCGACUGCAGAGAAAUGAUUGAAGAAGGUUGGAAACAGAGGGAGAGGGGAAAAGAGUGAAAGACGCCCUACCAAGAGAAGACAACUCAGUGUUGUCAAUGCAACUUAAUCACUGGCUGCACAAACAAGACGGCACAAGUUCAGAGUGAACAAAGUGACUCCAGUUUAUCUGAGCGACGCUUCAUGUGACUAAACAGCUGACAGGAAGGCAGCAGAGCUCACACUGACCUCAAGAAACCAGAGGAGGACACUUAGUGGAGUUUAUAUGCAGGGCUGCACAAUCAAUGACUUCCAAGCAUGAUUUCAGCUCUGAUUAUUCUCAUAGAAUCAUGAUUUAUCAGUGGCAUUACAACCAUUUUAGUCCCAAGUGUGCAGCCCUGAUCAAUAAUGUGAAUGGAAGCUGCUUCUUAUUCUACACUGAUCAGCUGCUGUUGUCUCUGACUGGAUUGUCUGUUUGAUCCCACACUAAAGUUACUGUGCAGCUACAUUAGCAGCAUCAGUCUGACAUCCAUCCAUCCAUCCAUCCGUCUGUCUGUCUGUCUGUGCUUUACUUUGUGUGACUGCGCCCCCUGCUGGAGCUCAUUCACUCUGUCAGCUGCCUCUGAUGUGUGUGUUGGACUGCAGUCUGUUCCUCAUGCAGGCUCAGUGAAGCACCAGUCACUCUUGGUGCUGAUGGUCAACAAGUGCUCCUCAUAUUCUCUCAGCUACGUACAGAAGGCAGCCAUUCUGCAGCGACAACACAGAGCCCCAUAGACAAGCAUGCAAAAUAAUCAUCAUCAUCACUGUCCACUUCCUCAUAGUCAUCCUUAGAGCCACACUCAUCCAUAUAUUAAUCCUUAUCAUUAGAAUCAUCUUCAUUAGAUCAUCUCCAGACAAAAAUAGGUAUAUGCACUUAAAAAGCUGAGAAAAUAGAGAGAGGUGGAGUUUACCAGCAUUCAGUAGAAAAUGAGAAGCCAAAUAAAAAGGAAAACACCAAAAAACAAGAGUCCUGUUGACAGUCAUGCAGAGAAAAUGUCAGCGAUGCUGCUAGUUAGUUGAAGUUGUGAAAAACUGUGAAUCCCUCAUUUAAAAUAUGUGUAUCUUAUUACAGUGAUUUUCAAGGCUAUGAACACACUAAGAAGAAGAGAAAAACAACACAUUUGUACUGUACAUGCUGCUUUUUCUUCUUUUUUUGGAGGGGGUUGGGGGUCAUUUUGGUUCCAACAAUCACACAUGAACGCCUUCAUGUGACCUUUGACCUUCUAGUCUUAGAACCGGCUGAAAAACAGACAUGAACAUCAGAACCGGACACGAGUACGAUACCACGUCUCAGUGGUUCACCUUGAAAAGAAAAACAAAACCUUCAUUUGACAAAAUCUUCACCACUGUAAAAAAGGUGAAGAAGCUUCUGGAGGGAUAGUUCACACAAAAUACACUCUUGUAUUACUGGAGUUUUAAAGUGACAGAUGGACCACUCUGGAAAAGUGGAAGAAAAAAAAAACAGGACACCAUAAAACUCGUGUCGAAGACAACGCAAAUCUCAAUGUAGCAGAAAUUAAGAAAGUAAUUCACACCAUGUUGGUCGUUGGAGAAAAACACAUGCAAGAAUGCAGAUUGGGUGAACUAUCCCUUUAAAAACAGUCAGGCUUUACAUGGAGCAUCAUCCUUUUGAACAACUACAGACAGUACAAGUGCAUGAGUUGUACAACAGGAAAACAAACAACAACAAAAAAAUAGAGAAAGAAAAAAGCACAAUAAAAAUAUCCACUAAAAUAAAUAAAUAAAUAUUGAAAAUAAAUAGAAACCUGAGGACUGUUCACCAAAGCAGACUGCCCGCUCUCCUAACAUCUUGGUCUGACCAAUAAGAGGCGACACAAAACCAGAAGGCAGCCAAUGGUGGACGAGCAAAGUACAACAACGGAGCCGACGGCGAGUCAGACCCCCACAAAAUCAGUUUUCAGUGCUGCAGAGUCCAUCCCAUCAAUCCUGCCACCCCUGGCACAAGCACUUAAUGUCAGCAAAAAGCUAAAAACACUUUACUGUAACACAAAUCAAAGAGUAGAAACAUGAAAAACACAAUAUGUGGACAAAAAACCCCAGAUGAAAUCAUUAGAAAACCAAAAUCAAAGAAGUCCUGGGCUAAAGGCAGGGGACUGAUAUGUCCUCCGAAAUAAAGCCUUCGUCUGACACACAACACACACCAACUCCCAGGCUUGUAAAGAAUACACACCCAGAGCAGCGGAUGCACACACACACACACAAAUAUUGCACCCUGUGGCAAAAAAAAUCCCAACAUGACAAACCACCAAACACUUGAUUCCUUGUCACUGAUGCAAGUGUUUGUCUGCUUGUGCUCAGUUUAGACAAAAGCGGCAGCAGCUUUGAGCUCUAUGGCUUUGGAAGGUCACACUUCCACCAGGAUCCUUCUCACUGACUGCUUCUGGCAUUUCACUGAAAGGAAAAUAAAAAUGAAGAGGACCUGCUGUUGUGCCGUGAUUUUAGUGAGUUAAAGAUAUCUCAACUUUUCUGAAAAACGCGGUUUUUUUUGUUUUUUUUUGGGGGGGGGGUUUAGCUGUCACCUAGCAACAGCAGGAGCCACCAGCAGUUCAUCCCUUUAAACGAGCACCUUUACAGCUAGAAACAUGAAACUAGCACCCGGUGGGGCCAAGGCUCAACCACUGCUCACUGAGAUUUACAUUAAAAAAAGCCAGAGGUGUGGAGUCCAAGCAGCAGGUCACCUCCACUGAGAUUCAAUUAUUUUAUACAUAGAACAAGAUGCUUUAAUGUUACACUCCUGUUUGCCAGAACACCAGUUGGUGUGUCAGUAGAACAAGGAAGAAGGUGACUUUUGUUGUUUUCUUGUGCCCUCUAUAGUCAGUUCACCUACUAUCAUAUGUACAUACACUACUGUUCAAAAGUUUAGGGUCAUUCAGGUAAUUUCAUGUUUUCCAUGAAAACUCACACUUUUAUCCAUGUGCUAACAUAACUGCACAAGGGUUUUCUACUCAUCAAUGAGCCUUUCAACACCAUUAGCUAACACAAUGUAGCAUUAGAACACAGGAGUGAUGGUUGCUGGAAAUGUUCCUCUGUACCUCUAUGGAGAUAUUCCAUUAAAAAUCAGCUGUUUCCAGCUACAAUAGUCAUUUACCACAUUAACAAUGUCUGGACUGUAUUUAUCAUUCAUUUAAUGUUAUCUUCACUGAAAUAAAACUGCCUUUCUUUCAAAAAUAAGGACAUUUCUAAGUGAAACCAAACUUUUGAACAGUAGUGUACAAAUUCUAAAUGUUGACGCAUUUAAUUACAUUUUCAAAUUCAUCAUCAGGUAACUGUUGUGAGAGAAUUUCCUAGAAGUUCACAAGUGAACACUUUAACCUUAGUUAUUUAUUGCAUAGCAAACCAAUGUCAUUCUAAUUUCUUAGAGUCCAGUUGAGGCUCCGUCAGUCAAAGAUCGACUUUGUGAGAGAAAUGAAGCCACAACCUCAGACUUCCCAUUAAUUCUGUAUUUCUGUGCACGUUUAAAAACCAUCUCAUGCUUUUAUGUGCACUAGUGAAAACAAAUGUGCUCAAACGUUGUGAAAUAUUUAAAUUCCUUUUACCGGAUCAUUGCAGGUUUCUCUACUAUCAGCUGUGCUAGAAAAUGCUUUCUUCAUAUAACAACACACCAACUUAUUCUGUCAGAAUUUGAUAAAGGGGGGAUGUGUUGCUAGGAAGUUUCUGGUUACAACAUGUCAGUGGGUGCUUUUCAUUCUGGUAACUUAUGCCUCCUCCUCUUGUGAUUCAGAAAUCAGUCCCCUUCUGCAUCAUGGAGGAUCUUCUGGUUACUAAUCACAGCUCCAGGAGAGAAUAGGAGAAUAAAAAUGAUGAGGUUUGAUCUGACAGGUGAAACAGGAGAAAGAAUAGAAAUCUGUGACGGUGGUUCUUUAACACACCUGUCUCCCCAGAAAGCCAAUCACGUGCUUCAAAACAGCUGAACAUCCAAUCAAUCAUGUUGUUGCACUGAUUCAGUAUUAUCCUCAAUGAAAAAACACUUUUAAAACUUUAAUUUGUUGCAGAGUUCUAAGCGGUUUCUAUCAGAUUUAACUGAUUGUAUUCAUGCAUUAUAUCUCUCUCCUCAUGAAUUUUAGAUAUUAGCCUGGUGAUUUUAGUCCAAAAUAACUACCUUGGGGUGUUAAAAAUACCGAUGCAGCUGUGCAUGUACAAAUUAACUGCCGUCGAGGAAGAAACACAAGUGAAGGAAGCGAGGAGACUGAAUGAAAAGCACUCAGAACAUGACUCUGAUAUAAAGCAUCCUGUGAAGCUUUUGGUUAUAAUGAGAAACAUUAUUUUUCAUGGUGGCAGACACACAAAACCAGCAAGGGAACUCUGGUUACUAGUAGAAAAAAAGCGGUAUCUUUGUCUUUCUCUGCAUCUUCGCAAGGCUGCUUUACACCUCAUUAUAGGGCAUGCCAAAGCGCAGGGCAGAAAUGUAAAUUUAUGAAAAAUCUCUAUUUUGUUCUGACACAGGAAGACAGCAAGUUCAGCAAAAACUUUCACCCGCGGUUCAGACUGCAACGAGGGGAAAAACGACAGGUUCCUCCAACUGUAGCAACUUAUUCUGAUUGGCUUACGCAACCACACACACUCUCUACAUUCACAAAUGACACCCAACACACACACCCCUUCCAAAAAAAGACAAACAACAACACAACAAAAGACAAAAGAAGAAGAAAAAAACACCAAAACAAACAAACAAAAACAUGUCGACCAUGAGUUUGGGCGCAGUAUUAUAGCUAACAUACAAGAAGCAAAUUACAAAAACUGCCAAUAUCAUUUUCCACUUAAUAGCCACAAUAAAAAACAGCCACUGUUAAUAAGGGGGGAAAAACAUGCUUCCUUAAAAAGAUAGAGAAAAACAAAAAAAAAGAUUUCCUUCAACUCUAGAAACCACUGGCAUCAAGAAUUCAGAAUUAUACAAAUGACAUAUACAAUUGCAAAUGUGUAAUAAUAAUAAUAAUAAUAAUAAUAAUAAUAAUAAUAAUAAUAAUAAUAAUAUCGUAAUGAUAAUAAUAGAUUUUACUUAAAACUUUACAUACUGUAUUUCCAGUGCAGUGUUUAUGUCACACAAGUGUGGAUUCACAGGAGGACAUGAGGGUCGGUGUCACAAAAAUUGCGGGGAUGGGGAAGAGACCAGAGGGAGGAGGAACCACACCCAGAGCUGAAAACACCCCCACCCCGUCAAACACCCCGUGUGCCGGAGGGAAGAAGAGGAGGCCGGGGGGUGAAGGGUGUCGAGCUGCUGGAUGUCCACUCGCUGCUGUUGGAUGGUUGUCGUGGGGACGGUGACAGACAGGGGGCAGUAGUAGUAAAAGAAGAGAUGCAUGCUGGGGGGUUGAGACUGGGCGUCCAGUGAGGGUGGGUUUGUUGUUUGAGGGCGAGGAGCCCCCAAACCGACACUGGACAUGUUCUUUCAUCCCUUCCUCCUCCUCCUCCUCCUCCUCUCUCUCUCCAGCAGAGCACUCCCGACAGACAAAACUACAGCGUUCAACCC